UUUAUUUAUUUGGUUGUGCCGAGUCUUAUUUGUGGCAGGCAGGCUCCUUAGUUGUGGCUCCAGGGCUCCUUCAUUGUGACUCGCAGUCUCCUUAGUUGUGGCAGGCAAACUUAGCUGCGGCAUGCAUGUGGGACCUAGUUCCCUGACCAGGUAGCGAACCUGGACCUCCUGCAUUGGGAGAGUGGAGUCUUAUCCACUGCGCCACCAGGGAAGUCCCAAACUGAGCGUCUUUCCUACUGAGUCUGGAUGAAAUCAUAGAACCCUUUUCAAUACAGUGUCCACAGUCACUACAAAUCAAUCCAAGUUGGCACGGCUGGUCAGGGGAUGGUACUCUAAGGUCUCAAUUAAGCAUUCUUUCUUUUUUUUCUUUUUCUCUUCUUUUAUUUAUUUUUUUUAUUUAGCCAUGCCAUGUGGCAUGUGGGAUCUUAGUUCCCCUACCAGGGAUCAAAACUGUGCCCUUUGUGUUGGAAGUAUGGAGCGUUAAAGAAAAAAAAGAAGAGGCUUUCCUUAAAACACUUUGAUAUGAAACAACUAAAAUAGCAAGGAGCUGAGAAGGGAGGGGACACCCUCGCAUAUAUAAAUAUAGUGUAAAGCGCCCUUGCUUUCUACACAAAGGGACAUCUCCUGCCAAAGGGAAGACAUCUGAACCAUUUUGCAAAUGUCAAAGUGAAACAUCAAACGUCACAAAGUUCAUCAGUGAGUGAGCGAGGAUUCUCCAGGAUUCCAAGUGACUCCACAUUUAUUCCCUCUGUCUCUGGUGAACACGUGGAUAACGCGCAAACCACUGAUUUCCGCGGUAAGAGACGGCAAGUCAGGAGGCGGCAGUACCCUGCGAGGAGAGUGGGGUUAUGGAGCUGAUCUGAGAUGAGGACCCAGAAGGCUGCUCAAGGGGCAGAGCCCAGGAAACAGGAGGAUCUACAGGACCCUGGGAAGGGGGAAGAUCAGAAACAGGGAAGGAAUCAUCCAAUUAAAGGAGUGUAUGGUGGAGCUUUCCACCGUAUACUGAGAAGGUCUACAUGACUCAGUGAACCAGCAUUUUCCAAAUGAUGGAUGCAGAAUGAUACAAAAUCAUGCAAGGACAAAGGACCUGUUCCAAGCGCCAAACAGAC